UCCCAGGUGGCUCAGUGGUAAAGUAUCUGCCUGCCAAGCAGGAGACAUGGGUUCAAUCCCUGGGUC
rnacentral:tRNA from 1 species